rnacentral:piRNA from 1 species
CUCGAAUGUGGAGAAGGGCCACG